rnacentral:lncRNA from 1 species
UUGUGACCCCUUCCCUUGAAAGGGAUCUGGAUGGUUCUGCACCACCAGAAACUCAGGAAGAAAGUCCCACCAAGGAUGUGGAUGAGGAAGAGGGAGCAAGUGAGCAGGAUAGAAAAGAUAGUGAGCAAGAGCUCUCAGCCCCCUCCUCAGGGAAGGAGUCCCAGCAGCCCAGCUUCCCCCCAUCCAAGGCAGAGGCGUUUGAGCUGUUUAAGCAGGAGGCUGGACGUGAGAUCAGCAGGAUCUUCAAGGAGAACAAGAGCAUCCUCCUCGCCAGGAAGAGGAGCAGCAAUUCCCUGGCCCGGAGGAUCAACGACAUCAAGCGGGAGAUGGAGGGAGUCAGGGAGACUCUGGAGGGGAAGAAGCGGAAGCGGUGGCAGGAGGGAGAAUACACCGAUGAGGAGGGCCAGGUCAUCAUCGAUGAGAAGGAGUUUUCCCUCAUCCUGA